rnacentral:rRNA from 1 species
UGGGGAAUCUUGCACAAUGGGGGAAACCCUGAUGCAGCGACGCCGCGUGAGCGAUGAAGCCCUUCGGGGUGUAAAGCUCUUUCGGCAGGGACGAUAAUGACGGUACCUGAAGAAGAAGCUGCGGCUAACUACGUGCCAGCAGCCGCGGUAAUACGUAGGCAGCGAGCGUUGUUCGGAGUUACUGGGCGUAAAGAGUGCGUAGGCGGUUUUCUAAGUUUGGUAUGAAAUCUCCCGGCUCAACUGGGAGGGUGCGCCGAAGACUGGAAGGCUAGAGUAUGGGAGAGGUAAGCGGAAUUCCUGGUGUAGCGGUGAAAUGCGUAGAUAUCAGGAGGAACACCUGCGGUGUAGACGGCUUACUGGACCAUCACUGACGCUGAGGCACGAAAGCGUGGGUAGCAA